AGCGAACGCUGGCGGCGUGCCUAACACAUGCAAGUCGAACGUGAAAGGGAGCAAUCCCAAGUAAAGUGGCGUACGGGUGAGUAACACGUAGGUAAUCUACCCCAGAAUCUGGAAUAACCGGCCGAAAGGCUGGCUAAUACUGGAUAGAGCGACGGAAUCCGUAAUUGGGUUUUUCGGGAAAGGGAGCCUGUAAAAAGGCCUUCGUUCUGGGAUGAGCCUGCGUCCCAUCAGCUAGUUGGUGAGGUAAAAGCUUACCAAGGCAAUGACGAGUAGCUGGUCUGAGAGGACGAUCAGCCACACUGGAACUGAAACACGGUCCAGACUCCUACGGGAGGCAGCAGUGGGGAAUCUUGCGCAAUGGACGAAAGUCUGACGCAGCAACGCCGCGUGAGUGAAGAAGGCCUUCGGGUUGUAAAGCUCUGUCGAGUGGGACGAAAAUGCUUGGAGUUCACAGCUCCAGGAACUGACGGUACCACUAAAGGAAGCACCGGCUAACUCCGUG
rnacentral:rRNA from 1 species